rnacentral:rRNA from 1 species
UACGUAGGGGGCAAGCGUUGUCCGGAAUCAUUGGGCGUAAAGAGCGUGUAGGCGGCCCGGUAAGUCCGCUGUGAAAGUCCAGGGCUCAACCCUGGGAUGCCGGUGGAUACUGUCGGGCUCGAGUCCGGAAGAGGAGUGUGGAAUUCCUGGUGUAGCGGUGAAAUGCGCAGAUAUCAGGAGGAACACCGGUGGCGAAGGCGGUGGCCUGGGCCGGUACUGACGCUGAGGAGCGAAAGCGUGGGGAGCGAACAGG